UACGUAGGGUGCGAGCGUUAAUCGGAAUUACUGGGCGUAAAGCGUGCGCAGGCGGUCUGUUAAGACCGAUGUGAAAUCCCCGGGCUUAACCUGGGAACUGCAUUUGUGACUGCAUGGCUGGAGUGCGGCAGAGGGGGAUGGAAUUCCGCGUGUAGCAGUGAAAUGCGUAGAUAUGCGGAGGAACACCGAUGGCGGAAGGCAAUCCCCUGGGCCUGCACUGACGCUCAUGCACGAAAGCGUGGGGAGCAAACAGG
rnacentral:rRNA from 1 species